UAGUUAAUCAUGAUUAAGAUUCAAUGGUAUAUUGAAACCAACUUUGAAGGCGACUUAUCACCAGCAGAAGCCAUAAUUCAGAUGAUAUGGAAUCAUCCAUGCAGGGGCAGCCACCUUUGUCGCCCAUGCAUAAAUGAUCAGUGGGAACAUAAAAGACUCACGUUGUCCUCAAAGUGCUCUACAUCGUAGUUAGGUCGUGAUGAAAACGAUUCUAGAAACCAUUCAAUUUGUCCAUCAUUCUCUUUCUCAUAUAUUCAAG
rnacentral:lncRNA from 1 species